rnacentral:rRNA from 1 species
UUAGGAAUUUUGCGCAAUGGGAGCAAUCCUGACGCAGCAACGCCGCGUGGGUGAUGAAGGCCUUCGGGUCGUAAAGCCCUGUCAGGUGGGAAGAAUGUCCCGGGACUGAACAGGUUCCGGGAGUGACGGUACCACCAGAGGAAGCACCGGCUAACUCCGUGCCAGCAGCCGCGGUAAUACGGAAGGUACAAGCGUUAUUCGGAAUUACUGGGCGUAAAGCGCGUGUAGGCGGUCCUGCAAGUCUGAUGUGAAAGCCCCGGGCUUAACCCGGGAAGUGCAUUGGAAACUGUGGGACUUGAGUACUGGAGUGGAUGGGGGAAUUCCCGGUGUAGAGGUGAAAUUCGUAGAGAUCGGGAGGAAUAUCAGUGGCGAAGGCGCCCAUCUGGACGGUAACUGACGCUGAGACGCGAAAGCGUGGGGAGCAAACA